GUGAGGAAUAUUGCGCAAUGGAGGCAACUCUGACGCAGCCAUGCCGCGUGCAGGAAGAAGGCGCUACGCGUUGUAAACUGCUUUUAACCGGGAAGAAACCCCAGGACGUGUCCUGGGUUGACGGUACCGGAGGAAUAAGCACCGGCUAACUUCGUGCCAGCAGCCGCGGUAAUACGAAGGGUGCAAGCGUUAUCCGGCUUCAUUGGGUUUAAAGGGUGCGUAGGCGGAGCGUUAAGUCAGUGGUGAAAUCCUGCAGCUUAACUGUAGACUUGCCAUUGAUACUGGCGCUCUUGAGUGCGCUUGAAGUGGGCGGAAUGUGACGUGUAGCGGUGAAAUGCUUAGAUAUGGCACAGAACACCAAUUGCGAAGGCAGCUCACUAAGGCGAUACUGACGCUGAGGCACGAAAGCGUGGGGAUCGAACAGGAUUAGAAACCCCUGUAGUCC
rnacentral:rRNA from 1 species